rnacentral:rRNA from 1 species
UUCCGGUUGAUCCCGCCGGAGGUCACUGCUAUCGGUGUUCGACUAAGCCAUGCGAGUCAAAUGUUCUUCGUGAACAUGGCGUACUGCUCAGUAACACGUGGAUAACCUGCCCUUGGGUCUGGCAUAACCCCGGGAAACUGGGGAUAAUUCCGGAUAGAUUAUAGACGCUGGAAUGCCCUGUAAUCCAAAGCUAUUGUGCCUAAGGAUGGGUCUGCGGUCUAUCAGGUUGUAGUGGGUGUAAUGUACCUACUAGCCUACGACGGAUACGGGUUGUGGGAGCAAGAGCCCGGAGAUGGAUUCUGAGACAUGAAUCCAGGCCCUACGGGGCGCAGCAGGCGCGAAAACUUUACAAUGCGGGAAACCGCGAUAAGGGGACACCGAGUGCCAGCAUCCUAUGUUGGCUGUCCAUAUGUAUAAAUCACAUGUGUUAGCAAGGGCCGGGCAGGACCGGUGCCAGCCGCCGCGGUAACACCGGCGGCCCGAGUGGUGGCCACUAUUAUUGGGUC